UGCCGCCGGGGUGCCGGUGGUGUUGGCGUAUUUCGAUUACGCCAACAAGGUGGUCGGCAUCGGCCCGGUGUUCGAGUUGACCGAUGACAU
rnacentral:tRNA from 1 species